rnacentral:rRNA from 1 species
UGAAAAUAGGAACCAUGUCCUGAACGCGCCCGAUCUCGUCUGAUCUUGGAAGCUAAGCAGGGUCGGGCCUGGUUAGUACGUGGAUGGGAAACCAGGUCUAUUUUGUU